UACGGAGGGUGCAAGCGUUACCCGGAAUCACUGGGCGUAAAGGGCGUGUAGGCGGAUCACUAAGUCCGGCUUUGAAGACUGAGGCUCAACCUCAGGCGUGGGCUGGGUACUGGUGGUCUGGACCUCUGGAGAGGGAACUGGAUUUCCUGGUGUAGCGGUGGAAUGCGUAGAUACCAGGAGGAACACCGAUGGCGAAGGCAGGUUCCUGGACAGAAGGUGACGCUGAGGCGCGAAAGUGUGGGGAGCGAACCGG
rnacentral:rRNA from 1 species